GAUGAACGCUGGCGGCGUGCCUAAUACAUGCAAGUCGAGCGAAUGGAUUAAGAGCUUGCUCUUAUGAAGUUAGCGGCGGACGGGUGAGUAACACGUGGGUAACCUGCCCAUAAGACUGGGAUAACUCCGGGAAACCGGGGCUAAUACUGGAUAACAUUUUGAACCGCAUGGUUCGAAAUUGAAAGGCGGCUUCGGCUGUCACUUAUGGAUGGACCCGCGUCGCAUUAGCCAGUUGGUGAGGUAACGGCUCACCAAGGCAACGAUGCGUAGCCGACCUGAGAGGGUGAUCGGCCACACUGGGACUGAGACACGGCCCAGACUCCUACGGGGGGCAGCAGUAGGGAAUCUUCCGCAAUGGACGAAAGUCUGACGGAGCAACGCCGCGUGAGUGAUGAAGGCUUUCGGGUCGUAAAACUCUGUUGUUAGGGAAGAACAAGUGCUAGUUGAAUAAGCUGGCACCUUGACGGUACCUAACCAGAAAGCCACGGCUAACUACGUGCCAGCAGCCGCCGUAA
rnacentral:rRNA from 1 species